rnacentral:rRNA from 1 species
AACGAACGCUGGCGGCAUGCCUAACACAUGCAAGUCGAACGAGACCUUCGGGUCUAGUGGCGCACGGGUGCGUAACGCGUGGGAACCUGCCCUUAGGUUCGGAAUAACUCCCCGAAAGGGGUGCUAAGACCGGAUAAUGUCUUCGGACCAAAGAUUUAUCGCCUUUGGAUGGGCCCGCGUUGGAUUAGCUAGUUGGUAGGGUAAAAGCCUACCAAGGCGACGAUCCAUAGCUGGUCUGAGAGGAUGAUCAGCCACACUGGGACUGAGACACGGCCCAGACUCCUACGGGAGGCAGCAGUGGGGAAUAUUGGACAAGGGGCGAAAGCCUGAUACAGCAAUGCCGCGUGAGUGAUGAAGGCCUUAGGGUUGUAAAGCUCUUUUACCCGGGAUGAUAAUGACAGUACCGGGAGAAUAAGCACCGGCUAACUCCGUG